CGUGUUCUAAGUUAAAAGAGAAGACAAAAAUUGGCAAACUCAUUAUUACAUUGGGUAAGAAACAAAAAAGAAAGAAUGAGUCUUCAGAUGAAAUAUCUGAUGCAGAACAGAUGCCACAGCAUACAUUAAAAGAUCAAGACUCUCAACUUCUUAUCCAAUGGGAGAGUAGUGGCUCAAGGCUCCUGGGCUGCUGCAAGAGUUGAGAAAAGAAGAUCAAAUCGACAAAUUAAAAGAAAAAAAUA
rnacentral:sRNA from 1 species